rnacentral:rRNA from 1 species
GGGUUGUGAGGUUAAGCGACUAAGCGUACACGGUGGAUGCCCUGGCAGUCAGAGGCGAUGAAGGACGUGCUAAUCUGCGAAAAGCGUCGGUAAGGUGAUAUGAACCGUUACAGCCGGCGAUGUCCGAAUGGGGAAACCCAGUGCAAUUCGUUGCACUAUCGUUAACUGAAUACAUAGGUUAACGAGGCGAACCGGGGGAACUGAAACAUCUAAGUACCCCGAGGAAAAGAAAUCAACCGAGAUUCCCCCAGUAGCGGCGAGCGAACGGGGAGCAGCCCAGAGUCUGAAUCAGCUUGUGUGUUAGUGGAACGGUCUGGAAAGUCCGACGGUACAGGGUGAUAGUCCCGUACACCAAAAUGCACAGGUUGUGAACUCGAAGAGUAGGGCGGGACACGUGGUAUCCUGUCUGAAUAUGGGGGGACCAUCCUCCAAGGCUAAAUACUCCUGACUGACCGAUAGUGAACCAGUACCGUGAGGGAAAGGCGAAAAGAACCCCGGCGAGGGGAGUGAAAAAGAACCUGAAACCGUGUACGUACAAGCAGUGGGAGCACCCUUUAGGGUGUGACUGCGUACCUUUUGUAUAAUGGGUCAGCGACUUAUAUUCUGUAGCAAGGUUAACCGUAUAGGGGAGCCGCAGGGAAACCGAGUCUUAACUGGGCGUUAAGUUGCAGGGUAUAGACCCGAAACCCGGUGAUCUAGCCAUGGGCAGGUUGAAGGUUGGGUAACACUAACUGGAGGACCGAACCGACUAAUGUUGAAAAAUUAGCGGAUGACUUGUGGCUGGGGGUGAAAGGCCAAUCAAACCGGGAGAUAGCUGGUUCUCCCCGAAAGCUAUUUAGGUAGCGCCUCGUGAACUCAUCUUCGGGGGUAGAGCACUGUUUCGGCUAGGGGGUCAUCCCGACUUACCAACCCGAUGCAAACUACGAAUACCGAAGAAUGUUAUCACGGGAGACACACGGCGGGUGCUAACGUCCGUCGUGAAGAGGGAAACAACCCAGACCGCCAGCUAAGGUCCCAAAGUCACAGUUAAGUGGGAAACGAUGUGGGAAGGCACAGACAGCCAGGAUGUUGGCUUAGAAGCAGCCAUCAUUUAAAGAAAGCGUAAUAGCUCACUGGUCGAGUCGGCCUGCGCGGAAGAUGUAACGGGGCUAAACUGUGCACCGAAGCUGCGGCAGCGACACUAUGUGUUGUUGGGUAGGGGAGCGUUCUGUAAGCCUGCGAAGGUGGCCUGUGAGGGUUGCUGGAGGUAUCAGAAGUGCGAAUGCUGACAUAAGUAACGAUAAUGCGGGUGAAAAGCCCGCACGCCGGAAGACCAAGGGUUCCUGUCCAACGUUAAUCGGGGCAGGGUGAGUCGACCCCUAAGGCGAGGCCGAAAGGCGUAGUCGAUGGGAAACAGGUUAAUAUUCCUGUACUUGGUGUUACUGCGAAGGGGGGACGGAGAAGGCUAUGUUAGCCGGGCGACGGUUGUCCCGGUUUAAGCAUGUAGGCGGAGGUUCCAGGUAAAUCCGGUACCUUUUAACGCUGAGGUGUGAUGACGAGGCACUACGGUGCUGAAGUAACAAAUGCCCUGCUUCCAGGAAAAGCCUCUAAGCAUCAGGUAACAUUGAAUCGUACCCCAAACCGACACAGGUGGUCAGGUAGAGAAUACCAAGGCGCUUGAGAGAACUCGGGUGAAGGAACUAGGCAAAAUGGUGCCGUAACUUCGGGAGAAGGCACGCUGAUAUGUAGGUGAAGCCCCUGCGGGUGGAGCUGAAAUCAGUCGAAGAUACCAGCUGGCUGCAACUGUUUAUUAAAAACACAGCACUGUGCAAACACGAAAGUGGACGUAUACGGUGUGACGCCUGCCCGGUGCCGGAAGGUUAAUUGAUGGGGUUAUCCGUAAGGAGAAGCUCUUGAUCGAAGCCCCGGUAAACGGCGGCCGUAACUAUAACGGUCCUAAGGUAGCGAAAUUCCUUGUCGGGUAAGUUCCGACCUGCACGAAUGGCGUAAUGAUGGCCAGGCUGUCUCCACCCGAGACUCAGUGAAAUUGAACUCGCUGUGAAGAUGCAGUGUACCCGCGGCAAGACGGAAAGACCCCGUGAACCUUUACUAUAGCUUGACACUGAACAUUGAGCCUUGAUGUGUAGGAUAGGUGGGAGGCUUUGAAGCGUGGACGCCAGUCUGCGUGGAGCCAACCUUGAAAUACCACCCUUUAAUGUUUGAUGUUCUAACGUUGGCCCCUUAUCGGGGUUGCGGACAGUGUCUGGUGGGUAGUUUGACUGGGGCGGUCUCCUCCCAAAGAGUAACGGAGGAGCACGAAGGUUAGCUAAUCCUGGUCGGACAUCAGGAGGUUAGUGCAAUGGCAUAAGCUAGCUUGACUGCGAGCGUGACGGCGCGAGCAGGUGCGAAAGCAGGUCAUAGUGAUCCGGUGGUUCUGAAUGGAAGGGCCAUCGCUCAACGGAUAAAAGGUACUCCGGGGAUAACAGGCUGAUACCGCCCAAGAGUUCAUAUCGACGGCGGUGUUUGGCACCUCGAUGUCGGCUCAUCACAUCCUGGGGCUGAAGUAGGUCCCAAGGGUAUGGCUGUUCGCCAUUUAAAGUGGUACGCGAGCUGGGUUUAGAACGUCGUGAGACAGUUCGGUCCCUAUCUGCCGUGGGCGCUGGAGAAUUGAGGGGGGCUGCUCCUAGUACGAGAGGACCGGAGUGGACGCAUCACUGGUGUUCGGGUUGUCAUGCCAAUGGCAUUGCCCGGUAGCUAAAUGCGGAAGAGAUAAGUGCUGAAAGCAUCUAAGCACGAAACUUGCCCCGAGAUGAGUUCUCCCUGAGACUUUAAGUCUCCUGAAGGAACGUUAAAGACGAUGACGUUGAUAGGUCGGGUGUGUAAGCGUAGCGAUACGUUGAGCUAACCGAUACUAAUGAACCGUGAGGCUUAACCUUACAACGCCGAAGGUGUUU